rnacentral:siRNA from 1 species
AUGAAUCCCUCAUUGCCACUUGU